AUUGAACGCUUGCGGCAGGCUUAACACAUGCAAGUCGAGCGAGCGGCGGACGGGUGAGUAAUGUCUGGGAAACUGCCUGAUGGAGGGGGAUAACUACUGGAAACGGUAGCUAAUACCGCAUAUCCUCAGAUGUGCCCAGAUGGGAGUAGCUAGUAGGUGGGUUAAUGGCUCAACUAGGCGACGAUCCCCAGCUGGUAUGAGAGGAUGACCAGCCACACUGGAACUGGGACACGGUCCAGAUUCCUACGGGAGGCAGCAGUGGGAAAUAUUGCACAAUGGGCGCAAGCCUGAUGCAGCCAUGCCGCGUGUGUGAAGAAGGCCUUCGGGUUGUAAAGCACUUUCAUCGAGGAGGCGUUACUCGCAGAGGAAGCACCGGCUAACUCCGUGCCAGCAGCCGCGGUAAUAC
rnacentral:rRNA from 1 species